AAUGCACACCACGAUAUUUGAGAACUGGCUAUAAAGUGGCAGACCCUAGUUUGAACCUGUGGACAUGGACUCACAGUUUGGUGAAUCUACAAACCCGCAACACAUUUGAAGAAAGAUACAACAGAGAAAAACAAACAAUUGUGAAGGUGCCAGAGUUCGUGACGUACACUGUAGCAAGGUGACCCCAAAAUGUGUCCAAGAAGUCGUCCAGAAUUAUUCUUAGCUCACAGCCUGUUGAUAAACUGGACGAACGGUCCUGCCAACGUUACGAGGUUUUGUAUCACAAAGCUGGCAUGAGACAUUUUAAAGGUCCAUGCACACAUGCGUUAAGCUUAAACUAACUCAGAGCGAAGUGACAAUGUAUUGUACACAAUUUUUAUAACAUGCGAUUUUUUGUCACUUGUUAACACCGUCACCAUAACAACAACACAUAUGCGUAGAGGCAGGUUUGGUUAGCCUUUUAAUGCCCAAUGUACUCAAAUGAGUAUAUGCUUUAUAAGUACAAACACUAUUUGCCUAUUUGCCAAAAAAAAAAAAAAUUCUAAAAAAAACCCAAACAAAUCUAAAACCCCCCAAACAAAUCUAAAAAAACCCCACCAACUAAAAAUUCAUAAAUAAGUAUUGAGAAGUCCCAUGUAUGACCAACAUCCUCAAAAUGGGUACAGUUUACUUGAAUGAGCCAAUAAUUUAAAUAAUAAACUCUUUUGAGUACAAUAGACACUAAUGGCAAUAUGUAUGACUUGAAAUUCUUUCUCUGCACUUCUAGAGCUGUUACAUUGUUCUAAAGUUGUGUUAAAUGAAUUUAAUAUAUGUCUUUUUUCUCUGAUUGCAAUAAACAAUUUGACA